rnacentral:tRNA from 1 species
GGCUCAAUGGUGUAGUGACUAGCACUUUGGACUUCAAAUCCAGUGACCUAUUUUGAAUCCUAGUGGGUCCU